rnacentral:rRNA from 1 species
GAACUGAGGGGGGCUGCUCCUAGUACGAGAGGACCGGAGUGGACGCAUCACUGGUGUUCGGGUUGUCAUGCCAAUGGCACUGCCCGGUAGCUAAAUGCGGAAGAGAUAAGUGCUGAAAGCAUCUAAGCACGAAACUUGCCCCGAGAUGAGUUCUCCCUGACUCCUUGAGAGUCCUGAAGGAACGUUGAAGACGACGACGUUGAUAGGCCGGGUGUGUAAGCGCAGCGAUGCGUUGAGCUAACCGGUACUAAUGAACCGUGAGGCUUAACCUUACAACGCCGAAGGUGUUU